GACGAACGCUGGCGGCGUGCUUAACACAUGCAAGUCGAACGGAAAGGCCCUGCAUUUGUGGGGUGCUCGAGUGGCGAAAGGGUGAGUAACACGUGAGUAACCUGCCCUUGACUUUGGGAUAACUUCAGGAAACUGGGGCUAAUACCGGAUAGGAGCUCCUGCUGCAUGGUGGGGGUUGGAAAGUUUCGGCGGUUGGGGAUGGACUCGCGGCUUAUCAGCUUGUUGGUGGGGUAGUGGCUUACCAAGGCUUUGACGGGUAGCCGGCCUGAGAGGGUGACCGGCCACAUUGGGACUGAGAUACGGCCCAGACUCCUACGGGAGGCAGCAGUGGGGAAUAUUGCACAAUGGGCGGAAGCCUGAUGCAGCAACGCCGCGUGCGGGAUGACGGCCUUCGGGUUGUAAACCGCUUUCGCCUGUGACGAAGCGUGAGUGACGGUAAUGGGUAAAGAGGCACCGGCUAACUACGUG
rnacentral:rRNA from 1 species